CCUACGGGAGGCUGCAGUAGGGAAUAUUGCUCAAUGGGGGAAACCCUGAAGCAGCAACGCCGCGUGGAGGAUGAAGGUUUUCGGAUUGUAAACUCCUUUUGUUAGAGAAGAUAAUGACGGUAUCUAACGAAUAAGCACCGGCUAACUCCGUGCCAGCAGCCGCGGUAAUACGGAGGGUGCAAGCGUUACUCGGAAUCACUGGGCGUAAAGAGCGCGUAGGCGGGAUAGCAAGUCAGAUGUGAAAUCCUAUGGCUUAACCAUAGAACUGCAUUUGAAACUGUUAUUCUAGAGUAUGGGAGAGGUAGGUGGAAUUCUUGGUGUAGGGGUAAAAUCCGUAGAGAUCAAGAGGAAUACUCAGUGCGAAGGCGACCUGCUAGAACAUAACUGACGCUGAUGCGCGAAAGCGUGGGUAGCAAACAGGAUUAGAUACCCUUGUAGUC
rnacentral:rRNA from 1 species